CUAAGUAUUAGAAACAAGGGCACACACUCUGUAUCUCAGACUCCAACAUCUAACAUUGUUGACUUUCUCAGUCUCUCUUAAUAUUUGUGAAUAUUUGAUUUUGCAAGAUUCUGUAGUCAGCUUUCUGCUUUGCUCUUAGAUUUCUUAAUGGUGUGUCAGAACUGAAUGUAGGAUUUUGGGUGGGACCGCUUCAGUCUGAGAUGGGAUUGUCUCAGCAGCAGCUGGUUUUGCACAUCUGAGCAGAGAUAACAAGGAUUCAAUGAAAUUAAUAUUCUGCCUCGUCGCACAACCCGCAGUGGCUGGCUGGAGGGAGCAGUGGUGGGAGCUGCAUUCCAGCACAGUGCAAUCUAGAUUACACUAACAUAUGAAACCAAUUAGACCAUGAUCUUUUAAGUACACAUACAAAUACACAUAGUUUUACUACAACUAGCCCCACUAACAGCAGUAAUUGUAACCAUAUACAUCUAUGUGAUAAUGACACUAGCAGGAUCUGGUAAAAGGGAUGAACUGGUAACAUUACCCCACCUGAUCUGUAUCAGGAAUUCAAUAAACUUUCAAAGUCCCUAAAAUUAUGAAAAUAAAUUUUUAAAAUACAAGUAAAUCCAAAACCCAAGCUAAAAACAAGAGUAGUGCCCUGAUAUGAAAAAUAAGAGUAGUUACCUAAUAUGAAAGUACUCCAUGAGAUGAGGGGUGGGGUAAUGGCCGGGGCCCCCGGCAAGGGACUGGCAAUGGACGCUGACCCUUUGCUGAGCAGGGGCUCGGGGCCCUGCGGCGCCGGGUGGGAGCCGGGAAGAGCGAGAGAGCCGGGCUAAACAUCAGCAUUGGGGCGGGCACGGACUCGGAGGGAGGGUGACACUGCCUGAGGGGGCCCGCAGAGCCUCCCUGCUCCAAAAUCCCGCGCGUGACAGCGGGGCAGCUGCCGGGAUAUUUGGGGCAGGGAGGAGCCGGAGGCGGGCGUUCCAAAUAGCUCCUUUGGAGCCGGAUUUUGUUCCAAUGAGGGGCAAUUCCCGUGGUUGCCGAGCGUUGCCGUCUCUCCUCACGAGCCUCAGGGUGGAGCUCUGUGCUCGGGGCCAAAGGCCGAGAUCCCGCCCGGAGGCUCCGAGACGGCAGAAUUUUGGGGAGUUCCGGUGCUGGCUGCCAGCAGAGCCGGAGCGCCGGGCCGGAGGAUGCGUGGGCCCCUCCCGCGGCGGGGGUUGGGCUGCCCGACUCAGGCGCUGCAUUGUCAGGACAGAGCCACGUGGCAAUCACCCGGAAUUCCAGUUCCCAAAGUUUAGCCAGAUGGAGAAAGAGGCUACGAGGAAGAGGAAGAUGCCCAGGACACUGAGACAGACAAGGAGCUGAGGACAGAGAACAGGGAGGACAAAUCCUUGCAGCAGAACCUCGUGGAAGAGGCCAUUUUGAGCAACUCCACAGCUCAGGAAUCUAGCGGGGAGGAAAAGCCCCAGAGAUCCUGCAUGAGGAGGGGCUGCACAUACAGGACUUGAAGGAACAGUAAGUAGAGUUUGCAGGCAACACUAAAUUGGAAGGAGGUGCUGACUCCCUCAAGGGCAGAGACCUUAACAAAUCCAAGAGAUGGGCAAUCAUCAACCAUAGGAAGUUUAAGAAGGCUGAAGGAACUUGCACCUCAUAGCAGCCUUCAGCUUCCUUCUGAGGGGCAGUGGUAGGGCAGGCACCAAUCUCUGAGCUCUGCUGACCUGUGACAAGACCUGAGUGGAUGGCUUGAAGCUGUGCCAGGGCAGAGUCAGGCUGGAGAUCAGGAAGAUUCUUUGCCCAGAGGGUGAUUGGGCACUGAGUGGCUCCCAUGGGAACGGUCAUCGCCCCAAGGCUGCCAGAGCUCCAGAAGCAUUUGGACAGUGCUUUCAGGAACAGACUGUUCCUGAAACAAACAAUCCUGGGAUUGUUGGGGUGUCCUGUGCAGAGCCAGCAGAUGGACUUGAUGAUCCUUGUGCAUCCUUCCAGUUCAGGAUAUUCCAUUAGUCACUGAAAACCACUGGAGGAAGUGCCAUGUGCUAAACCAUGAAGGGGAGUUCCUGGCUCCUGGGAGAGAAGCAGACACCAGCUGCCUGCUUUGCAGCUUGAAAUCCCCAUGAAAACAUUUUGGGUUUCUAUGUUCUGAAAGGUGGCACUGCCUGCAUAGCAGUGCCUUCAGUUUACCACUCUUUAUGUCUGGAGUUGACCCAGGAAUGUCCCAUGGUGGGGUGCUCCAUUCCUACAGUCACUUCCAUACCGGGACCAGACCUGGAGUGUGAGGAGCAAGCUCCAGAUCCAAGCACCAUCUUCUCAGACCACAGAAUAUUAAAGCAUCUCCUUGGGA